UACGAGGGUGGCAAGCGUUGUUCGGAUUUACUGGGCGUACAGGGAGCGUAGGCGGUUGGGUAAGCCCUCCGUGAAAUCUCCGGGCCCAACCCGGAAAGUGCGGAGGGGACUGCUCAGAUAGAGGAUGGGAGAGGAGCGCGGAAUUCCCGGUGUAGCGGUGAAAUGCGUAGAGAUCGGGAGGAAGGCCGGUGGCGAAGGCGGCGCUCUGGAACAUUUCUGACGCUGAGGCUCGAAAGCGUGGGGAGCAAACAGG
rnacentral:rRNA from 1 species